CCUACGGGCGGCAGCAGUGAGGAAUAUUGGUCAAUGGGCGCAAGCCUGAACCAGCCAAGUCGCGUGAGGGAAGACGGCCCUACGGGUUGUAAACCUCUUUUGCCGGGGAGCAAGCCUGAGCACGUGUGCCCAGGCGGAGAGUACCCGGAGAAAAAGCAUCGGCUAACUCCGUGCCAGCAGCCGCGGUAAUACGGAGGAUGCGAGCGUUAUCCGGAUUUAUUGGGUUUAAAGGGUGCGUAGGCUGUGAGGUAAGUCAGCGGUGAAAUGCCCCCGCUCAACGGGGUGAAGUGCCAUUGAUACUGCCUUGCUGGAAUGCGGAUGCCGUGGGAGGAAUGUGUGGUGUAGCGGUGAAAUGCAUAGAUAUCACACAGAACACCGAUUGCGAAGGCAUCUCACGAAUCCGCGAUUGACGCUGAUGCACGAAAGCGUGGGUAUCAAACAGGAUUAGAUACCCCAGUAGUC
rnacentral:rRNA from 1 species